rnacentral:rRNA from 1 species
GAGCAUACCGCGUGAUCGAUGACGGUUUUUGGAUUGUAAAGAUUUGUGGUAGAGGAAGAAUAGAUAAAUGAGGAAAUGCAUUUAUUUUUGACGGUACUUUGCUAGAAAGCCAUGACUAAUUACGUGCCAGCAGUCGCGGUAAUACGUAAGUGGCGAGCAUUAUCCGGAUUUAUUGGGCGUAUAGUAUGCGUAGAUGGCGAAUUAAGUCACAGGUUCAAGGGUGAGGCUCAACCUCACCAUGCUUUUGAUACUGUUUCGCUAGAGGUUAGAAGACGUUAAUGGAAUUUCAUGUGUAGCGGUGAAAUGCGUGGAGAUAUGAAAGAACACCAAGAGCGAAGGCAAUUAACGUGUCUGAUCCUGACAUUGAGGCAUGAGAGCACGGGGAGCCAAUCGGAUUAGAUACCCGAGUAGUCCGUUGCUGUAAACGAUGAGUACUAGAUGUUGUCAUUUUGACAGUGUCGUAGUUAACACGUUAAGUACUCCGCCUGGGGAUUACGAACGCAAGUUUAAAACUCAAA